rnacentral:misc_RNA from 1 species
GUUUUCCCAGAAAGAAUUUGGGAUAAAAUCUUGUUUCCAUGCACAUGUAGAGGACAUAGUCAUCAGAAUUUCAAUGGGGGUCCUUGUACAAAUACUCUGCAGCUAUGUCACUCUCCCUCUCUAUGCCCUCGUAACACAGAUGGGUUCAUCAAUGAAACCAACCAUCUUCAACGAGAGAGUAGCAGCAGCUCUAAGAAAUUGGCACAAAACGGCUAAGAAAAACAUUAAACGGAACAAGGGGUCCGUCACCCCCUUAUCUAGUAGACCAGCCACACCAUCCCACCACAUGUCGCCGGUGCACCUUCUUCGAUACUAUCAGAACGAAAUGGAUAGCCUCCAAAAUUCUCCUAGGAGAUCAAGUUUAAAUAGGUGGGAAACAGAUUCUCCAUCACCUUCUCACCCUAACCAUGGCGAGGGAUCAUCGUCGACCCAUCAUCUCAAUCUCGGUGAUGGUUCAUCGUCUUCACAUCACCACCAUCACCAACAAGUUCAAUUAAGUUACGUAGAAUGUAAACGAGAAGGCAAUGAAGAGCCAAGUUCAACUCAAGUGGCCCCAGUUCCAGAACAUGAAAUUAAUAUAGUGCCAAGGGAAUUUUCAUUUGAUAAAAG